rnacentral:rRNA from 1 species
UAUGGAGGGUGCAAGCGUUAUCCGGAUUCACUGGGUUUAAAGGGUGCGUAGGCGGGUAUAUAAGUCAGUGGUGAAAACUCCGAGCUUAACUUGGAAACUGCCAUUGAUACUGUAUAUCUUGAAUGUCGUUGAGGUUAGCGGAAUGUUGCAUGUAGCGGUGAAAUGCUUAGAUAUGUUACAGAACACCAAUUGUGAAGACAGCUAACUAAGCGAUGAUUGACGCUGAGGCACGAAAGCGUGGGGAGCAAACAGG